rnacentral:rRNA from 1 species
GACGAACGCUUUCGGCGUGCUUAACACAUGCAAGUCGAACGGAAAGGCCCUGCUUUUGUGGGGUGCUCGAGUGGCGAACGGGUGAGUAACACGUGAGUAACCUGCCCUUGACUUUGGGAUAACUUCAGGAAACUGGGGCUAAUACCGGAUAGGAGCUCCUGCUGCAUGGUGGGGGUUGGAAAGUUUCGGCGGUUGGGGAUGGACUCGCGGCUUAUCAGCUUGUUGGUGGGGUAGUGGCUUACCAAGGCUUUGACGGGUAGCCGGCCUGAGAGGGUGACCGGCCACAUUGGGACUGAGAUACGGCCCAGACUCCUACGGGAGGCAGCAGUGGGGAAUAUUGCACAAUGGGCGGAAGCCUGAUGCAGCAACGCCGCGUGCGGGAUGACGGCCUUCGGGUUGUAAACCGCUUUCGCCUGUGACGAAGCGUGAGUGACGGUAAUGGGUAAAGAAGCACCGGCUAACUACGUGCCAGCAGCCGCGGUGAUACGUAGGGUGCGAGCGUUGUCCGGAUUUAUUGGGCGUAAAGGGCUCGUAGGUGGUUGAUCGCGUCGGAAGUGUAAUCUUGGGGCUUAACCCUGAGCGUGCUUUCGAUACGGGUUGACUUGAGGAAGGUAGGGGAGAAUGGAAUUCCUGGUGGAGCGGUGGAAUGCGCAGAUAUCAGGAGGAACACCAGUGGCGAAGGCGGUUCUCUGGGCCUUUCCUGACGCUGAGGAGCGAAAGCGUGGGGAGCGAACAGGCUUAGAUACCCUGGUAGUCCACGCUGUAAACGGUGGGUACUAGGUGUGGGGUCCAUUCCACGGGUUCCGUGCCGUAGCUAACGCUUUAAGUACCCCGCCUGGGGAGUACGGCCGCAAGGCUAAAACUCAAAGGAAUUGACGGGGCCCCGCACAAGCGGCGGAGCAUGCGGAUUAAUUCGAUGCAACGCGUAGAACCUUACCUGGGUUUGACAUGGAUCGGGAGUGCUCAGAGAUGGGUGUGCCUCUUUUGGGGUCGGUUCACAGGUGGUGCAUGGCUGUCGUCAGCUCGUGUCGUGAGAUGUUGGGUUAAGUCCCGCAACGAGCGCAACCCUUGUUCACUGUUGCCAGCACGUUAUGGUGGGGACUCAGUGGAGACCGCCGGGGUCAACUCGGAGGAAGGUGGGGAUGACGUCAAGUCAUCAUGCCCCUUAUGUCCAGGGCUUCACGCAUGCUACAAUGGCUGGUACAGAGAGUGGCGAGCCUGUGAGGGUGAGCGAAUCUCGGAAAGCCGGUCUCAGUUCGGAUUGGGGUCUGCAACUCGACCUCAUGAAGUCGGAGUCGCUAGUAGUCGCAGAUCAGCAACGCUGCGGUGAAUACGUUCCCGGG